rnacentral:rRNA from 1 species
UACGUAGGGUGCAAGCGUUAAUCGGAAUUACUGGGCGUAAAGCGCGCGCAGGCGGCCCCGCGAGGUGUCACGUGAAAGCCCCGGGCUCAACCCGGGAGGGUCGUGGCAAACCGGCGGGCUUGAGGCCGGUAGAGGUGGGUGGAACUCCUGGUGGAGUGGUGAAAUGCGUAGAGAUCAGGAAGAACACCCGUGGCGAAGGCGGCCCACUGGGCCGGUACUGACGCUGAGGCGCGAAGGCGUGGGGAGCGAACGGG